CUUGCUUCCUAGAGGCAUUUGUAGGUGUAGCUGCUGUGCCACAUGUACAUUAGUAGGUGUCAGAUACGAAAGAGUCUAUCUGUACCUUCAGUGUUCUAAUCUGUGUAUGUGAAUACUUGAUAGCCUAUUAUU